GGGUUAGUAGGUUGGUCAUGCCUCUGGUAUGUACUGGUCUCACUGAUUCCUCCUUCCUGAUGAACCUUAAUGCCAUUAAUUUGGUGUUUUGGGGAAUUUGGACUGUUACUUUGAAAAAAUUAGAGUGUUUAAAGCAAGCUAACGCUUGAAUACAUUAGCAUGGAAUAAUGAAAUAGGACGUUCGAUCCUAUUUUGUUGGUUUUGUAGAGCAUUGAGGUA
rnacentral:rRNA from 1 species